AACGAACGCUGGCGGCAUGCCUAACACAUGCAAGUCGAACGAGACCUUCGGGUCUAGUGGCGCACGGGUGCGUAACGCGUGGGAACCUGCCCUUAGGUUCGGAAUAACUCCCCGAAAGGGGUGCUAAUACCGGAUAAUGUCUUCGGACCAAAGAUUUAUCGCCUUUGGAUGGGCCCGCGUUGGAUUAGCUAGUUGGUAGGGUAAAAGCCUACCAAGGCGACGAUCCAUAGCUGGUCUGAGAGGAUGAUCAGCCACACUGGGACUGAGACACGGCCCAGACUCCUACGGGGGGGAGGAGGGGGGAAAUGGGGACAAGGGGGGAAACCCUGACCCAGCAAUGCCGGGGGGGUGAUGAAGGCCUUAGGGUUGAAAAGCUCUUUUACCCGGGAUUAUAAGGACGGUACCGGGAAAAAAAGCCCCGGCUAACCCCG
rnacentral:rRNA from 1 species